rnacentral:rRNA from 1 species
AUUGAACGCUGGCGGCAGGCCUGACACAUGCAAGUCGAACGAGUGGCGGCCGGGUGAGUAAUGUCUGGUAAACUGCCAGAUGGAGGGGGAUAACUCAUGGACAACGUAACUACUACCACAUACCAUCGGAUGUGCCAAGAUGUGAUUGGCUGGUCGGUGGGGUAACGGCUCACCUAGGCGACGAUCCAUAGCUGGUCUGAGAGGAUGACCAGCCACACUGGAACUGAGACACGGUCCAGACUCCUACGGGCGCCAGCAGUGGGGAAUAUUGCACAAUGGGCGCAAGCCUGAUGCAGCCAUGCCGCGUGUAUGAAAAAGGCCUUCCGGUUGUAAAGCACUUUAAGUUGGGAGGCGUUACCAACAGAAUAAGCACCGGCUAACUUCGUGCCAGCCGCCGCGGUAAUUC